GUUAUUAAUAUACACUUCCAAUAUAUAAAAAAAAAAUACUAAUAUUAAUAAAUAGAAAAUGGUAGUGUGUUUAAAACAUCAUCAUUUCCUUAGACUCAUUUUUUAAAUUAUCUCGAUAUCAAUUGUCAACGGGUAGAGAAAUCACGAAAUCGAAGAUCGACACGACCCAAUUGACCUUUCAACCGUAAAGCUUCAAACUUCCAACUUGUUCCACUUUCCACCGGUUAAAAAUAAUUUUAUCAUUCUAUCUCAAAACUCGUACAAUUUUCGUUCUUUUAAGGAAAGAAUGCUUGGAAUCGACGAACCAUCUGUUCCAAUCUGUUCAAAAUCUGACCAGACUUCUUCCUUUCUUUUCCUUCUCUCUCCCUCCCCCCCCCUCUCUCUCUCUCUCUUCCAUGGAUCGCGGCCCGAUACAUUUCGUCCAACGAGACCGUCCGUUUGCCCUUAAAACGAACUAUUAUAGCUAUAUACAAUGCAGCUGGAUACUGGAUUUCCUCGGCUUGAUUCGCCUCGACACGGUCCACUGGGUAACCUCAAUUUCCCUACAGGUCACACAGUAGGUACCCCUCUCAGGAGACACAGGAUUACUCGGGAUACCUAUUACAGACGACGAACGUAGAACUAUCGUUCCUAUCGAGCUUGAAUAAUGCGAACGUUAUUCCUCGAAAUGAGUUUUGGGUGUUCAGAGUGGGUCGACCUCGCUCUGUUGCUCAUAUCCGCGAUGCACGUGUGCGCGCAUGCGCGUGCGCGUGUGUGCGCGACUGUUUACCUAUCGUGUUUGCAAUGUGUCUGAUAAUCGAUUUGCAAGGUGUUCCGUGCUAUUAAUUGGGCUGGGAUAAUUUUGUUAGUUCGAUUUUUGAAUAAAUUCUUGCCUUGUGUGAUUUGUAACACGAAAAAGGAAGGAAAGGAUUGGCUCGAGUUAUGAUUUUUCAAUUUCAACAUGAAAGAUUGAGGUUAAUGUUCUACUUUAUACUUCGAUUUCGUUGUAUAGCAGGCAAGAAUUCUAUGAAAUUCGAAGAAUCAAUAAUUAAAUCAAUAAGAUAGAUUCUUGAUUGCUUGCAAACCAAUAGGAUUAUAUCUGCAAUGGUUUUGGAUUGCCUGAUAAGCAGAUCAAAUAAAUAAUUGAAUGUAAACCUCUUAACCUGUUAGAAUCGCGAAUAUAAUUCUCAAUAUAAACCGGAAAAGAUGGUGGUUUAUAAAAUCGAUAAUUCUAAAUUUCUAAUAAAUCCGAGAAAUUAAACACGAAAGUGGGGUGAAGCUAUUUUGAACGCGAAUUACGGAUGGUCUAAUUAAGGCAAUCUCUCGACCAACGUCGUUAAUGAUCCAGUAACGCCGUUUACAUUACAUUACGUGCGUGAAGCGAAUUAUAUUAUUAAAAUUUUGAUGAUGAUAGGAUGUAAUGAACGAUUGGCGUUAAAUUGGCUCGAAAAUUAUUAUGCGACAAAUUGAGAGAAGAGGACAUUGAUCAAUCAUCGUUAAGUAUGUGAGAUAAGAAGAUAUAAGAGAAGAUACGAUGAAUUGUAUUUUAAUUUUUUUUUUUAUGCAAUUACGUUAUAUUAUCGAACUUGAAACGAAUAACAAUGCGACGUUUAAAAGAAAAUUCGAUUUACAUUUCUCGGCAGACAUCAAUCUCAAUCGUUGGACGAUACAUCAAUGUGUAAUGGAUUCAACCUGUAAGAAAAAAAACUUGCCUUGUGAUGUUCAGAAUACGUAACACACGUAUAUACGUGUGUGCAAUAAAUCCUAAGGUGAAGGGAAAAAAGGAUUAUAUCUAUCUGGAAUAAAUUCAAUCUGAAAAUAAAAAUUGUGUGACAUCCAAUACUGUGUAAUAGAAUCCACAGCAUGGAAUGUCUUAGCUGCAAGUUGCAGCAAUUAUUUUCUCGUCUAUCUUGAACAUGUGUCGUCCUGGAAAACCGUUUACCC